AUUAAUUUAUGAUGAAUAUUAUCAGUUAUCCCUGUCAGAUGUUUCCAUGUUGAUAACUCUUUUUAACUGAAAUAUAU